UACAGAGGUCUCAAGCGUUGUUCGGAUUCAUUGGGCGUAAAGGGUGCGUAGGUGGCGCGGUAAGUCGGGUGUGAAAUUUCGGAGCUUAACUCCGAAACUGCAUUCGAUACUGCCGUGCUUGAGGACGGGAGAGGAGACUGGAAUUUACGGUGUAGCAGUGAAAUGCGUAGAGAUCGUAAGGAAGACCAGUGGCGAAGGCGGGUCUCUGGACAGUUCCUGACGCUGAGGCACGAAGGUCAGGGGAGCAAACGGG
rnacentral:rRNA from 1 species